ACUCCAUCAUCUUCCGGACGUGGGUGGCCGGGGCAUUCAAAUGGAUAUGGUCUGCGCCACCUUCUCCGCCGAUGUCGUCGCCGGUCAUUCUGGCCAUCUCGCCCACCGCCAAGCACGGACUGGCUGCGCCUUUCUCCCCCAUCUCGUACAUACGGCAGCGAAUCGUCGAUCCCGACACCCCGCGCUGCAUGUGCUAACCCUAGCCACCUCUGCCUUCGAUGCGACGGCGGCAUGGACGUGGGUGGCUGCUGCGGUGGUGCUGGUGCUCCUCGUGCGGUGGUGCCGCUCCAGUGGUGCUGCCGUGGUGCGGCUCCGGUGGUGCUGCCGUGGCCUCCCGUACUUGGAGGAAGGGGCGGCUUCAGCAGCGGCGUCUACACUCUACACCGUCGUCGACUCGUCGCCCGCGUGGAGAUAGUGAACUCAACCCCGAGCUCCAGGCUACUUGUACACAACGUGUUUGUGGUAUUGCCUAAAUGCCCAACUCAAGCGCUGAAGUGGGGAAAAUUCUUUGGAUGCCCAACUCGAGCUGAGAAAUGCUUCCACAUCUGCAUAUUUGGAUGAUUGAACUAUCUACAGUUUUGGGAAUAGAGCUUUUGAAACAAUGUUGUCAUGGCUGGGAUUAAAGUUCUAGCGAUAUAGAUAGAAAUGUUGCUCAAGAUGCUCGAAGGAAUUCAUAACAAUCAAGUUCACAAGGAUUCAACUCCAGCAGAUACUGUGUACAGUUGACAGCAACCCACAGUGGUGUUGCACAUAUAUUCUUGAGGCAUCUGAUCCCUUAUUUGUGGAAAUUGGGAAGUCUUUUAUUGAAGAACAAAUCAAAGGUCUGUACUUCUAAAAUGAUAUUGAGUGACCGAGGUUGAUUUCGAAGAUUAUGUCUCUAGGCCCGGAUAAAAUCAGCAUGUUAUGUGAUUGUCUGGAUAUGUUUGAUUGAAGAUUCUGUAAGUUAGAUUGUCUGGAUAUGUCAUCGUGUCUUGCAACGAUGAGAUCAUGUUGAGAUUUGCCUUUAUAGUGUACUGCUGGAUAUGUUGGUUGCAGACCAUGUUCAGAUUUGCCUUUAUAGUGUACUAUUGCAUA